CAAGUCGGUUCCGUGGCAGGACUGGACUUACAGACUAAAAUUCAUUUGAAGUGUUGGGGAAGGCGCACAAACUCUCUGUGCUCCGACUUCCUUUGCUCCAUUAAUAAACUUUGUUCUCUUGUUUUUUUGGCGUUGAAUUUGCUCCUGUAAAUUGGUUAAGAAAGGCCAACAUUUAAGACCCAUUUUGUGGAAAUGAAGUUCUUAGAUUGGUACGUGAAAAUAUCAGCUGCUGGUGCUUUAAUUGGAGCUUCUAUGGAGUUGUUCAUGAUCAAGACUGGCUUCUAUGAUAAGGUUACUGUUCUAGAGUCAGAGAAGCGGGCUUGGGAAAGCUCCCCUGAAGCUCAGGCAAUCAGAGAAGCUCUAAACCCUUGGAGAAACCAUGACACAGAACAAAGAAAAAAUACCUAAUCUUCAUGAUCCAGUCUUGGAGGUUCUUCUUGUCCAAGGCUUGUUUUCUUGAAGAUUCAUCUUGGAGCCUUAUGUUUGCCAUUUAAAACAGUGCAAUUACUAAGUGAAGCUGAGAACAUCUAGAACGUAGAAAGGUCCAGGUUUAAACAACAGUUUUAGAACUAAUUUGGCUGCUAGAUUUUCGUCUUCUUAUGUUGGCCAGAUUUAUUUAUUUCUUGGCCAAUUCUUGUCUGUCCAUGGCCCUCAAAACAUAAUUGGCAAUCUUGAGAUUUCCUUGGUAUUUUUUCUUAAGUCACAACAUCAAAACUGGUUAUAGGAGAAAAACGUUCUGCAA